rnacentral:rRNA from 1 species
UACGUAGGGUGCAAGCGUUAUCCGGAAUUAUUGGGCGUAAAGAGCUCGUAGGCGGUUUGUCGCGUCUGCUGUGAAAACUGGAGGCUCAACCUCCAGCCUGCAGUGGGUACGGGCAGACUAGAGUGCGGUAGGGGAGAUUGGAAUUCCUGGUGUAGCGGUGGAAUGCGCAGAUAUCAGGAGGAACACCGGUGGCGAAGGCGGCAUCCUGGGCCGGUAUUGACGCUGAGGAGCGAAAGCCAGGGGAGCAAACGGG